ensembl:miRNA
GCUACUAAAAUAUAUUUGAAAUCGGGCCUUUUGAAAGAUGAAAAGACCAAUUUCAAGUAUAUUUUCAUAGC